rnacentral:rRNA from 1 species
AUUGAACGCUGGCGGCAGGCUUAACACAUGCAAGUCGAGCGGGGUGAUGGUGCUUGCACUAUCACUUAGCGGCGGACGGGUGAGUAAUGCUUAGGAAUCUGCCUUUUAGUGGGGGACAACAUCUCGAAAGGGAUGCUAAUACCGCAUACGUCCUACGGGAGAAAGCAGGGGAUCACUUGUGACCUUGCGCUAAUAGAUGAGCCUAAGUCGGAUUAGCUAGUUGGUGGGGUAAAGGCCUACCAAGGCGGCGAUCUGCAGCGGGUCUGAGAGGAUGAUGCGGCACACUGGGACUGAGGCACGGCCCAGACUCCUACGGGAGGCAGCAGUGGGGAAUAUUGGACAAUGGGGGGAACCCUGAUCCAGCCAUGCCGCGUGUGUGAAGAAGGCCUUAUGGUUGUAAAGCACUUUAAGCGAGGAGGAGGCUCUUUUGGUUAAUACCCAAGAUGAGUGGACGUUACUCGCAGAAUAAGCACCGGCUAACUCUGUGCCAGCCGCCGCGGUAA